rnacentral:tRNA from 1 species
CUCCGUAUAGCUCAGUCUGGUAGAGCAUAUCGUUUGGGACGAUAGGGUCAAAUGUUCAAAUCAUUUUACGGAGA